AGAGUUUGAUCAUGGCUCAGAUUGAACGCUGGCGGCAGGCCUAACACAUGCAAGUCGAACGGUAACAGGAAGCAGCUUGCUGCUUUGCUGACGAGUGGCGGACGGGUGAGUAAUGUCUGGGAAACUGCCUGAUGGAGGGGGAUAACUACUGGAAACGGUGGCUAAUACCGCAUAACGUCGCAAGACCAAAGAGGGGGACCUUCGGGCCUCUUGCCAUCAGAUGUGCCCAGAUGGGAUUAGCUAGUUGGUGAGGUAACGGCUCACCAAGGCGACGAUCCCUAGCUGGUCUGAGAGGAUGACCAGCCACACUGGAACUGAGACACGGUCCAGACUCCUACGGGAGGCAGCAGUGGGGAAUAUUGCACAAUGGGCGCAAGCCUGAUGCAGCCAUGCCGCGUGUAUGAAGAAGGCCUUCGGGUUGUAAAGUACUUUCAGCGGGGAGGAAGGUGUUGUGGUUAAUAACCACAGCAAUUGACGUUACCCGCAGAAGAAGCACCGGCUAACUCCGUGCCAGCAGCCGCGGUAAUACGGAGGGUGCAAGCGUUAAUCGGAAUUACUGGGCGUAAAGCGCACGCAGGCGGUCUGUCAAGUCGGAUGUGAAAUCCCCGGGCUCAACCUGGGAACUGCAUUCGAAACUGGCAGGCUUGAGUCUUGUAGAGGGGGGUAGAAUUCCAGGUGUAGCGGUGAAAUGCGUAGAGAUCUGGAGGAAUACCGGUGGCGAAGGCGGCCCCCUGGACAAAGACUGACGCUCAGGUGCGAAAGCGUGGGGAGCAAACAGGAUUAGAUACCCUGGUAGUCCACGCCGUAAACGAUGUCUACUUGGAGGUUGUGCCCUUGAGGCGUGGCUUCCGGAGCUAACGCGUUAAGUAGACCGCCUGGGGAGUACGGCCGCAAGGUUAAAACUCAAAUGAAUUGACGGGGGCCCGCACAAGCGGUGGAGCAUGUGGUUUAAUUCGAUGCAACGCGAAGAACCUUACCUGGUCUUGACAUCCACAGAACUUUCCAGAGAUGGAUUGGUGCCUUCGGGAACUGUGAGACAGGUGCUGCAUGGCUGUCGUCAGCUCGUGUUGUGAAAUGUUGGGUUAAGUCCCGCAACGAGCGCAACCCUUAUCCUUUGUUGCCAGCGGUUAGGCCGGGAACUCAAAGGAGACUGCCAGUGAUAAACUGGAGGAAGGUGGGGAUGACGUCAAGUCAUCAUGGCCCUUACGACCAGGGCUACACACGUGCUACAAUGGCGCAUACAAAGAGAAGCGACCUCGCGAGAGCAAGCGGACCUCAUAAAGUGCGUCGUAGUCCGGAUUGGAGUCUGCAACUCGACUCCAUGAAGUCGGAAUCGCUAGUAAUCGUGGAUCAGAAUGCCACGGUGAAUACGUUCCCGGGCCUUGUACACACCGCCCGUCACACCAUGGGAGUGGGUUGCAAAAGAAGUAGGUAGCUUAACCUUCGGGAGGGCGCUUACCACUUUGUGAUUCAUGACUGGGGUGAAGUCGUAACAAGGUAACCGUAGGGGAACCUGCGGUUGGAUCACCU
rnacentral:rRNA from 1 species